AACUUUGGGAAACUGAAGCUAAAACCUGAUAAGUGAGAAAUACUGGAACGUUUUCUCUCGGAAAAGCGAUGCCUAAGGAUGGGACAGCGGCUGAUUAGGCUGUUGGCGAGGUAACGGCUCACCAAACCAAUGAUCAGUACGGGCCAUGGAAGUGGGAGCCCGGAGAAGGGCACUGAGAUAAGGGCCCUAGCCCUACGGGGUGCAGCAGGCGCGAAAACUCUACAAUGCACGAAAGUGCGAUAGGGGAAUCCUAAGUGCUUAUGAUUUUAUCAUAAGCUUUUUUUGAGAGUAAUUAUCUCGAAGAAUAAGUGGUGGGCAAGACGGGUGCCAGCCGCCGCGGUAACACCUGCGCCACAAGUGGCAAUCAGUAUUAUUGGGCCUAAAGCGUUCGUAGCCGGACUUUUAAGUCCCUUGUGAAAUCGUCGGGCUAAACCCGACGGCGUGCGAGGGAAACUGUAAGUCUAGGAACCGGAGAGAAGUAAGAAGUAUUCUGGGGGGGAGCGGUAAAAUGUUAUAAUCCUCAGAGGACUACCUAUGGCGAAGGCAUCUUACUAGAACGGAUUCGACGGUGAGGAACGAAAGCUAGGGGAGCGAUCGGGAUUAGAUACCCCAGUAGUCCUAGCUGUAAACGCUGUAAGCAAGGCGUUGCAGAUUUCAAGUGAAUCUGCAGUGUCGAAGAGAAGUCGAUAAGCUUACCGCCUGGGAAGUACGGUCGCAAGACUGAAACUUAAA
rnacentral:rRNA from 1 species